ensembl:lncRNA
AAUACAAGAGAGGACUUUUCAUUGUUUGUAUUACUCUGUUUGUGUGUUCCAGGCAGGAUAUCAGUGUGUGACAGUAUGGCGAUUUUUCAGUAUAUGUUUCUGCAAGCUACAUCGAUACACCAGUAGGCAACAAGUGAUGCUUUAUGAGGUGACACAACACUGCUGUACCUUCUCUGUGAAUGUGUGUGUUUGUUUCCUGACUUGGAAGCAAAGAGUUUGUUACACAUUGCCCUAG